UACGAAGGGUGCAAGCGUUAAUCGGAAUUACUGGGCUUAAAGGGCGCGUAGGCGGGCUGUCCAGUCUGGGGUGAAAUCCCGCGGCUCAACCGUGGAACUGCCUUAGAUACUGACGGCCUCGAGGGAGGUAGGGGCGUGCGGAACUGUAGGUGGAGCGGUGAAAUGCGUUGAUAUCUACAGGAACUCCGGUGGCGAAGGCGGCGCGCUGGACCUCUUCUGACGCUGAGGCGCGAAAGCCAGGGGAGCAAACGGG
rnacentral:rRNA from 1 species